rnacentral:tRNA from 1 species
UCCCUGGUGGCCUAGCUGGUUACGGCGUCCGACUGUUACUGCUCUAGAGCAGCUGCAUAUCGGGAGAUCGACAGUUCGAUCCUGUCUCGGGGAG